CAAUAGCGUAUAUUAAAGUUGUUGCAGUUAAAAGCUCGUAGUUGGAUUUCUGGCAGGAGUGACCGGCCGCACACACUGUGUGUGAGUUGCGUCAUUCUGGCCAUCCUUGGUGAGAUCCUGUUUGGCAUUAAGUUGUCGGGCAGGGGAUAACCAUCGUUUACUGUGAAAAAAUUAGAGUGUUAAAUAGCAGGCUUAUGCCGUUGAAUAUAUUAGCAUGGAAUAAUAAGAUAGGACUUUGGUACUAUUUUGUUGGUUGCGCACCAAAGUAAUGAUUAAUAGGGACAGUUGGGGGUAUUCGUAUUCCGUUGUCAGAGGUGAAAUUCUUGGAUUUACGGAAGACGAACUACUGCGAAAGCAUUUACCAAGGAUGUUUUCAUUAAUCAAGAACGAAAGUUAGGGGAUCGAAGAUGAUCAGAU
rnacentral:rRNA from 1 species